AUUGAACGCUGGCGGUAGGCCUAACACAUGCAAGUCGAACGGCAGCACAGUAAGAGCUUGCUCUUACUGGUGGCGAGUGGCGGACUGGUGAGGAAUACAUCGGAAUCUACUUUUUCGUGGGGGAUAACGUAGGGAAACUUACGCUAAUACCGCAUACGACCUACGGGUGAAAGAGGGGGAUCUUCGGACCUUGCGCGAUUGAAUGAGCCGAUGUCGGAUUAGCUAGUUGGUGGGGUAAAGGCCCACCAAGGCGACGAUCCGUAGCUGGUCUGAGAGGAUGAUCAGCCACACUGGAACUGAGACACGGUCCAGACUCCUACGGGAGGCAGCAGUGGGGAAUAUUGGACAAUGGGCGCAAGCCUGAUCCAGCCAUACCGCGUGGGUGAAGAAGGCCUUCGGGUUGUAAAGCCCUUUUGUUGGGAAAGAAAAGCAGCAGGUUAAUACCCCGCUGUUCUGACGGUACCCAAAGAAUAAGCACCGGCUAACUUCGUG
rnacentral:rRNA from 1 species